GGGUUGUGAGGUUAAGCGACUAAGCGUACACGGUGGAUGCCCUGGCAGUCAGAGGCGAUGAAGGGCGUACUAAUCUGCGAUAAGCGCCGGUAAGGUGAUAUGAACCGUUAUAACCGGCGAUACCCGAAUGGGGAAACCCAGUGUGAUUCGUCACACUAUCAUUAACUGAAUCCAUAGGUUAAUGAGGCGAACCGGGGGAACUGAAACAUCUAAGUACCCCGAGGAAAAGAAAUCAACCGAGAUUCCCCCAGUAGCGGCGAGCGAACGGGGAGGAGCCCAGAGCCUGAAUCAGCAUGUGUGUUAGUGGAAGCGUCUGGAAAGGCGCGCGAUACAGGGUGACAGCCCCGUACACAAAAGCGCAUGUGCUGUGAGCUCGAUGAGUAGGGCGGGACACGUGGUAUCCUGUCUGAAUAUGGGGGGACCAUCCUCCAAGGCUAAAUACUCCUGACUGACCGAUAGUGAACCAGUACCGUGAGGGAAAGGCGAAAAGAACCCCGGCGAGGGGAGUGAAAAAGAACCUGAAACCGUGUACGUACAAGCAGUGGGAGCACCCUUUGGGUGUGACUGCG
rnacentral:rRNA from 1 species